AGUACUAGGAACGAAACUAGGAAAAAGAAAGUUUAUGAUAUAUAACUGUAUACGAAGAAAAGAUUUGACAUUUCGUGGUUACGAACAUUAGUAAGCUUCUUUAUAAUCAAAAAAUUAAAGAAACGGGCAUGGAAAAUACCUCGAAUAAGGAAGAACAGAAUAAUCAGAAUGAUUCAGACUCUGAGGUAGAUGAGGUAGAACCUAGACUCAAAUACGUCAGAGUACGAAAUGAUUUAGAACAUAUAUUACAAAAUGAUGCAGCUAGUUGCAUUGCAGUACAUCCUAAGUUCCUAUGUCUGGGUUCACACUGGGGUAUGAUACAUCUUUUAGAUCAUCAAGGAAAUAAUAUACAGUCUAAAAGUUUACAAGCACAUACAGUUGCUGUCAAUCAGAUUUCUAUAGACCAUAAUGGAGAUUUCAUUGCAUCCUGUAGUGAUGAUGGAAAAGUUUUUAUAUAUGGUCUUUACAGCACAGAGAAUAAUCAUAAUAUGAGCAUGGGUAGAUUAGUUAAAAGUAUAGCUAUAGAUCCAAAUUAUUAUAAAAGUUGUAGCGGAAGAAGAUUUAUUACAGGGGAUGAUAAAUUGGUUUUGUAUGAAAAAACAUUUUUAUCCAGAAUGAAACUAACUGUAUUGUGCGAUGCGGAAGGAGGAGUAAGAUCAAUUGCAUGGAUUGGACAUUUUGUGGCUUGGGCAUCUGAUACUGGUGUCAGAAUCUAUGAUUUAAAUGCCAAAUGUUCAUUAGGUCUCAUUAAGUGGACUAGAUCUACUGAUGCAUUGCCAGAACAUUACAGAUGUAAUCUUCGAUGGUCAGAUGAUAGAACAUUAUUAAUUGGUUGGGUUGACAUAGUGCGAAUUUGUCAAAUUAGAAAGAGGUCGAUACAGGAAAUGGUUAAUAGAGACCUACCGGAAUUUGUGGUAGAUCCAGUUUCAACUUUCCAAGUGGAUUUUUAUAUUUCCGGUAUUGCACCUUUAGAAAAUCAGUUAGUAUUACUAGGUUGCUUGAAAGAAUUGGAUGAAGAUGGAAAGAGUCAGAGGCCCACAUUACAUGUUGUUGAACCAAAGUAUCAUGAUUUUACUCUUGUGUGUGCAAAUUCGCUUACACUUCGUGGUUAUAAAGAAUACAGUUGUAAUGAUUAUCAUUUAGACUGUUUGAAAGAGGAAAACAGGUUUUUUAUUGUCAGUCCAAAAGAUAUUGUUGUAGCUAGUUUAUAUGAUGCGGAUGACAGAAUUGAGUGGCUAUUGAGUCAUGGAAAAUUUGAACAAGCAUUAGAGGCAGUAACAUUAGAUAAUGGCAAAGAUUGUAAGAAGUACACUUUUGUUUAUGUUGGCCGUAUAUACUUAGAUCAUUUGUUAGCUUGUGGAAAAUAUGAUGAAGCAGGAAAACUCUGCUCUAAAAUUUUAGGAAAGGAUAAAAAAUUGUGGGAGGAAGAAGUAUAUAAAUUUGCAAGAGUUCACCAACUGAGGUCUAUUUCUUCUUAUCUUCCAAGAGGCGAUGUCACGUUAGAUCCAUUGAUUUACGAAAUGGUUCUUUAUGAAUAUUUGAAAAUGGAUCCUGAUGGAUUUCUUCAACUAGUCAAAGAAUGGUCUCCUAAAUUAUAUAAAGUUGCAGCUGUUGUAAAUGGUGUUUUGGAACAUCUUAUCGUUGAUAAUCAACGACAAAAUGUACUGUUAGAAGCUUUAGCUAUUCUAUAUAUUCAUGAUGAAAAAUACGACAAAGCGUUAGCCAUGUAUUUAAAAUUGAGACAUAAAGAUGUAUUUCAGCUUAUUAAAAAAUACCAUCUGUAUAAUACCGUUUACGACAUGAUAGAAGGUUUAAUGGAUUUAGAUGCGGAACGUGCUAUACAAUUUUUUUUAGAAAAGGAUGCAGUACCAUCUGAUAUCGUUGUACAAAAAUUGCAGCAUAAUCACCGAUAUUUAUACUUGUAUUUAGAUGAAUUAAAUAAAAAAGAUACAGAAGAUAAAUAUCAUGGAUUGUUAGUCCAGCUUUAUGCUAAUUAUUCAAGAGAUAAAUUGUUACCUCUUCUACGCCGUUCUAAUAAUUAUCCAAUACAACAAGCACUAGAUAUCUGUAGUCAGCGAAAAUUUUAUCCAGAAAUGGUAUAUCUACUUGGUAGAAUUGGAAACACUUCUGAAGCUUUAGCACUUAUGACUAGAGAAUUAAACGAUAUGCAGAGUGCGAUCGCAUUUUGUCAAGAACACGAUGACGAGGAACUGUGGAAUGAUUUGAUUAUUUAUUCUUUGGAUAAGCCCAAGGCUAUUACAUUUUUGUUGCAAAAAAUAGGCACAUAUGUUGAUCCUAGACUUAUGGUACAAAGAAUAGAACCGUCUUUAGAAAUUCCUGGUUUAAAGAAAGCUUUAGUUAAGAUGAUGUGUGACUACAAUCUCCAAGUGUCAGUACAAGAAGGAUGUAGAAAAAUGUUAUCCAAUGAUUAUUUCAAUUUACAUGAAAGGCUAGUUAAAUGUUAUCAAAAAGGGAUAUUUAUAGAUGAUGACCAAAUGUGUGGAGCUUGCCAUAGGAAAAUAAUUGUAAGAGAACCAAGGAAUUUAGUUGUAUUUUAUUGUAAACAUUCGUUUCAUGAAGAUUGUCUACCAAAUUUCGAGGUAGUGGAAAAUUGUGUUAUAUGUAACUCGCAAAAAGAUAUAUCUCCUAGCAGAAAAUGAUACAGCUUUUGUAAUAUUUGAUCAAUAGUAGCACAUUUAGUACAUAUUUUGAAUACUUUAAGACAUCCAGGACAUAUCGAAUAAGACUGAAAAUUAAAGAAUUAUAUGAUUGUUUUAUAAAUAUAAUACCGAUAUAAAAUUGUAUUAUAAAUACAUAUAAAAUUUACUUUAUGAUCUCCACAAACUUGAAUAAUAGCUUGACAUUGAUCACAAGUUCUCUUUAAUUGCGGCAGUGGAAUUUCGACGUUGCCGAACUAAUAAUUUUUGACCCACCGAAAUGACCAUCAAUAGACAUCGAAGAUUGCACAUGCACUAAAAAUUCCCGAGCCUUGGGCCCGAUGGAUUCUACCAAAAUACAAUAACCGCCUAUUGGUUCCGUCUCCUUCAUAGGUUCAUUUUUUAAAGAAAUUAUUAAGGUCUCCCGGAAACAUAAAUCUGCUUGAUUUACAUCGUCUGAAGUACAAAAAGAAAGAAGCUGAGUAUUUAGAACAGCAUAAUAUUUUUUUCAAAAAAGAAUUUACAGUCUAAUAGUGAAAACGACAUAGCUUAUAAGUAUCAAAAAAAUUACAUUCCAAAUACAAUUCAUUUCACCAGCAGCGAAUAAAUUUACCAACUUGUACAUUAGAUAUUAUUCUAUAUUAUAUUUUAUUAUGUACCGUUUUUUAUGGACGUUUAUUUGUUUUAUUUAUGGAAUAUCUUUAUUCGUUGUUGGAGAAAUUUAGUUAGAGCGAAUUAUUUUAAUAGGAUAUGGGGUGCAAACAUUUUAUUAUUGUGAAAAAUUUUUAACGGGUUCAUUAUUAAUAUUUACUUGUUUUGUUCAAAAUUGAUCGAUCGUAAAUUCAUAAUUUAUUGUACAUACUAACGUAUAGAUUACGAUUUCAGAAUGAAAUUAUUUUACAAUAAAACGUAGGGACAUUAUGAUUUAUGCUUUAAUAUGUACAGUAAGAAAUUUGUCAAAUUGUUACGAUAUAUAAUAUUCUGUAUUUUGUACAACAAGGUGCCAUCAUUGUAUAAAAUAAUUUUGGUGUGUGUUCUGUGGUAUUAAGAGAUUUUAUGAGUACACGAUUUAUCCAUAAUGUCACAGCUAUACCUAAGAUAUUUUAUCUAGGUCUCCAUGUAAAUAUUGUGUCUAAGUUGCAGUGUAGAACAAUAAUAAUGUGUAAAGUAUAAUUAAUAUAUAAAUUUUUUACGUCGCUUAAAAA